rnacentral:rRNA from 1 species
CAGUAGCCACGGUAAUACGGAGGGUGCAAGCGUUAAUCGGAAUUACUGGGCGUAAAGCGUACGCAGGCGGUCUGACAAGUCAGAUGUGAAAUCCCCGGGCUUAACCUGGGAACUGCAUUUGAAACUGUCAGGCUAGAGUCUUGUAGAGGGUGGUGGAAUUCCAGGUGUAGCGGUGAAAUGCGUAGAGAUCUGGAGGAAUAUCGGUGGCGAAGGCGGCCACCUGGACAAAGACUGACGCUCAGGUGCGAAAGCGUGGGGAGCAAACAGGAUUAGAUACCCCUGUAGUCCCUGUCUCUUAUAC